CCUACGGGCGGCUGCAGUGGGGGAUAUUGGACAAUGGGGGGGAACCCUGAUCCAGCGACGCCGCGUGAGUGAAGAAGUAUUUCGGUAUGUAAAGCUCUGUCAGCAGGGAAGAAAGCAAUGACGGUACCUGACCAAGAAGCCCCGGCUAACUACGUGCCAGCAGCCGCGGUAAUACGUAGGGGGCAAGCGUUAUCCGGAAUUACUGGGUGUAAAGGGGGCGUAGACGGCUGUGCAAGUCUGGAGUGAAAGGCGGGGGCCCAACCCCCGGACUGCUCUGGAAACUGUAUGGCUGGAGUGCAGGAGAGGUAAGCGGAAUUCCUAGUGUAGCGGUGAAAUGCGUAGAUAUUAGGAAGAACACCAGUGGCGAAGGCGGUUUUCUGGACUGAAACUGACGCUGAGGCACGAAAGCGUGGGGAGCGAACAGGAUUAGAUACCCGGGUAGUC
rnacentral:rRNA from 1 species